CCACAUUAUAUGAAUAGCUCGUAAGUUGUCUUCAAGUGUUCCGAGCAGUUUGUUUCACUUUAAUGGCUUGACUGUUACUAUUGAAUGUUAUUUGUUAAAAAUACAAUUAUGUGGCUGGGCCUGACAGCUGACUGAGAUGGUCGCACAUGGCUGGAGCUCUGCUGAGGAAAUUUCAAAAUAAGCAUUUUACUUGAAAAAAAAAAGCUUUCUUAUCGGCAAUAAACAAGUUUUAUCUCCUGUGGCACACCCUGCCCAGAGUUUUACCUACUCUCCUGGUGGGCAAUUACUGUGCUAGACUGCUCUGAGGCCUGCUGACAUAUCCAAAGCUGGGAGCCGCCCGAUUCUCCGUACGGGUUUUGUUUUCGCC